AGAGUUUGAUCCUGGCUCAGAGUGAACGCUGGCGGCGUGGAUUAGGCAUGCAAGUCGCGCGAUACCCUGGUUGGAGAGAUUGAAGCCGCAAGGCGGAUGUCAAUUCGGCCGGGGAUAUAGCGGCAAACGGGUGAGCAAUACGUGAGUAACCUACCCAUAUAACGGAGAUAACCUCGCGAAAGUAAGGCUAAUAUCCGAUGUGUCCGGCACCUCAUAAGGGGAGCCGGGUAAGGGUCCCGCAAGGGAUUGUAUAUGGAUGGGCUCAUGUUCUAUCAGCUAGUUGGUAGGGUAAUGGCCUACCAAGGCUUUUGACGGAUAGGUGGCCUGAGAGGGUGGUCACCCACACGGGGACUGAGACACUGCCCCGACUCCUACGGGAGGCUGCAGUCGAGAAUAUUUAGCAAUGGGCGAAAGCCUGACUAUGCGACGCCGCGUGAGGGAUGAAGGAUUUCGGUUCGUAAACCUCUUUCGAUGGGGAAGAAAUGACCGUAGUAAUACGGGAGAUGACGGUACCCAGAGAAGAAGCCAUGGCCAACUCCGUGCCAGCAGCCGCGGUAAUACGGGGAUGGCGAGCGUUACUCGGAUUUACUGGGUGUAAAGGGCAGGUAGGCGGCUUUGCAAGUUGUAGGUUAAAUCCUCUGACUUAAUCAGAGACAUGCCUUCAAAACUACAAAGCUUGAGGAUUUGAGAGGAGAGCGGAAUUCCCGGUGUAAGGGUGAAAUCUGUAGAUAUCGGGAGGAACACCUGUGGCGAAAGCGGCUCUCUGGCAAAUCCCUGACGCUAAGCUGCGAAAGCU
rnacentral:rRNA from 1 species